rnacentral:rRNA from 1 species
UACAGAGGUCCCGAGCGUUGUUCGGAUUCACUGGGCGUAAAGGGUGCGUAGGUGGCCUGAAAAGUUUGAUGUGAAAGCUCAGGGCUUAACCCUGAAAUGGCAUUGAAUACUGUUGGGCUGGAGGUUUGGAGGGGGGACUGGAAUUCUUGGUGUAGCAGUGAAAUGCGUAGAUAUCUGGAGGAACACCGGUGGCGAAGGCGGCAUUCUGGACCGAUAUUGACGCUGAGGAGCGAAAGCCAGGGGAGCAAACGGG